rnacentral:tRNA from 1 species
GGCUUAGCUUAGCUGCUAGAGCGCCAGAGUACGGCUAAUCUGGAGGCCGUAGGUUGAAAUCCCACCGGCAGUCG